UACGAAGGGGGCUAGCGUUGCUCGGAAUCACUGGGCGUAAAGCGCACGUAGGCGGCUUUUUAAGUCAGGGGUGAAAUCCUGGAGCUCAACUCCAGAACUGCCUUUGAUACUGAGAGCUUGAGUUCGGGAGAGGUGAGUGGAACUGCGAGUGUAGAGGUGAAAUUCGUAGAUAUUCGCAAGAACACCAGUGGCGAAGGCGGCUCACUGGCCCGAUACUGACGCUGAGGUGCGAAAGCGUGGGGAGCAAACAGG
rnacentral:rRNA from 1 species